UACGGGGGGGGCAAGCGUUGUUCGGAAUUACUGGGCGUAAAGGGCUCGUAGGCGGCCAACUAAGUCGGAUGUGAAAUCCCCGGGCUCAACCCGGGAACUGCGUCCGAUACUGGAAGGCUUGAAUUCGGGAGAGGGAUGCGGAAUUCCAGGUGUAGCGGUGAAAUGCGUAGAUAUCUGGAGGAAUACCUAUGGCGAAAGCAGGCUACUGGACCGUCACUGACUCUGAUCUGCGAAAGCUAGGGGAGCAAACAGG
rnacentral:rRNA from 1 species